CCUGGUGGUGUCCUUUU
rnacentral:miRNA from 1 species